rnacentral:rRNA from 1 species
UUGACCUCGGAUCAGGUAGGGAUACCCGCUGAACUUAAGCAUAUCAAUAAGCGGAGGAAAAGAAACCAACCGGGAUUGCCUCAGUAACGGCGAGUGAAGCGGCAAGAGCUCAAAUUUGAAAGCUGGCUCCUUCGGGGUCCGCAUUGUAAUUUGCAGAGGAUGCUUCGGGUGCGGCCCCUGUCUAAGUGCCCUGGAACGGGCCGUCAGAGAGGGUGAGAAUCCCGUCUGGGAUGGGGUGUCCGCGCCCGUGUGAAGCUCCUUCGACGAGUCGAGUUGUUUGGGAAUGCAGCUCUAAAUGGGUGGUAAAUUUCAUCUAAAGCUAAAUACUGGCCGGAGACCGAUAGCGCACAAGUAGAGUGAUCGAAAGAUGAAAAGCACUUUGAAAAGAGAGUUAAAAAGCACGUGAAAUUGUUGAAAGGGAAGCGCUUGCGACCAGACUCGCCUCCAGGGUUCAGCCGGCAUUCGUGCCGGUGUACUUCCCUGGGGGCGGGCCAGCGUCGGUUUGGGCGGCCGGUCAAAGGCUCCCGGAAUGUAGUGCCCUCCGGGGCACCUUAUAGCCGGGAGUGCAAUGCGGCCAGCCUGGACCGAGGAACGCGCUUCGGCACGGACGCUGGCAUAAUGGUCGUAAACGACCCGUCU